rnacentral:rRNA from 1 species
GAUGAACGCUGGCGGCGUGCCUAACACAUGCAAGUCGAACGAAGCGUCCCGCCCGAAGAAGAGGAGAGCUUGCUCAAAUCGGACUCAAUUGGGACGACUUAGUGGCGGACGGGUGAGUAACGCGUGGGUAACCUGCCUCACACAGGGGGAUAACAGUUAGAAAUGACUGCUAAUACCGCAUAAGCGCACAGCACCGCAUGGUGCAGUGUGAAAAACUCCGGUGGUGUGAGAUGGACCCGCGUCUGAUUAGCCAGUUGGCAGGGUAACGGCCUACCAAAGCGACGAUCAGUAGCCGGCCUGAGAGGGUGAACGGCCACAUUGGGACUGAGACACGGCCCAAACUCCUACGGGAGGCAGCAGUGGGGGAUAUUGCACAAUGGGGGAAACCCUGAUGCAGCGACGCCGCGUGAGUGAUGAAGUAUUUCGGUAUGUAAAGCUCUAUCAGCAGGGAAGAAAAUGACGGUACCUGACUAAGAAGCUCCGGCUAAAUACGUGCCAGCAGCCGCGGUAAUACGUAUGGAGCAAGCGUUAUCCGGAUUUACUGGGUGUAAAGGGAGCGUAGACGGUAUGGCAAGUCUGAUGUGAAAGGUGUGGGCUCAACCCGCAAACUGCAUUGGAAACUGUCAGACUAGAGUGUCGGAGAGGUAAGUGGAAUUCCUAGUGUAGCGGUGAAAUGCGUAGAUAUUAGGAGGAACACCAGCGGCGAAGGCGGCUUACUGGACGAUAACUGACGUUGAGGCUCGAAAGCGUGGGGAGCAAACA